ensembl:lncRNA
AUAUAUAUAUAUAUAUAUAUAUAUAACUUUUUUGUCAACUCAUCUUCAUUUAAAUCUUUCAACUGUGUACUGAUGCUUUAAUUCAGCGCGAGCAGCACUGCAAAAAAAAAAAAUUAGACUCGACGCCGAAGCUCCUGCUUCACUGCCGCUCACUUCCGGUGUAAAAUUUUAGCAGUGCAGAGUUUAGAGAUUACAAACUGCAGAUUUGUCGUCAUUCCACACAAGAGACAUCUUUACACACAGCACCAAAUCAAUGUUUUCCCGCCCUCUUUUGAUUGACGGGAUAUAAUCAGCCCUGAUCAUCGGAUGUUUCUAAACUAUCGGCCGAUGGCCCAUAGCCUGAAAAAUUGCCUUUAUCGGCCGAUUAUUGGCUGAUACAUCGGUGCAUCUCUAGAAUUAAUUACAUUUUCAUUUACAUUUUUUCCUUUAAAAAAAAAAAAAAGAGGAGAAGAAACAGAAGGUAUUAUACACAUCAAGGGAUUCGAUGCAUUCCAAACCCUAUUUCUGUGAAUUUAACGGAGAAGCUGUUUUAACAUGAGUUUGCUGUAUAAUAAUAAAGAACUGACAAAAUGGCAUAAUGAGCAAUUGAAGAGUUACGAAUGCUACUUCUCAUUUUGAUUAGGAAAGGUUUGCCUUCUGUGAAGGCUGUUGAAAUGAUUUGCCAUGUUUUGAAAUGGACUUGUAGCACUUUUGAAGUUGUAAUCGUGUAGAAACUGAGCUCCGAAAUGUUUUGAGUUUUAACAAUGGGUUAAAUUGGAUCAUUUCAGUACACUGACAUAACACUCAGCCUGUUCUCCAUGGAUGGUUUUAACCAGUGUGGUUUAAAUGGGCCAAAUCCUGUUACGCAUUUGUCAACAAUAAAGAUUCACUGGGAAAAAACGUUUUUUUUUAAAUUAUUGUUAAGAAAAUGAAGGGGAGAACAGAUGAUAAAGUUAAAAAAAAAAAAAAAAGGAAGAAAAGAAAUAUUGAAAUUUUAUGCACAUGUUCAUGUACUCAAACACACAUACACACACAUUGAUCUGCCAUAACACAGAACCACUGAUAGGUGACGUUCAAGGUGUUGACUUGGCCUUCAAAGUCCCCAGAUCUCAAUCUGAUUGUGCAUCUAUGGGAUAUAAUGGACAAACAAAUCCAAUCCAUGGCGGACUCACCUCGCAACUUACAGGACUUAAAGAAUCUACUGCUAACGUAUGGCUUUACCGUAUGUAAUUAAAAAAGAGAGAGAGAGAACCGGAGGGGGGGAUUUCUAAAAAAUGCAACAAGAUGAUGAAUGUAUAUUGAUUAGACAAUAGUAUGUUACGUUCUGUUUAUACUGACUAUUCAUGCAGGUGCUGUUCUGUUGGUUGCUCAUCUGAGAUCAUUAACCCAUCUUAAGCCUUGUCUUAUGCUCCAUUCCGGUUAAGGCUUGUGAAGACGGUUGGCACUUUGGAAAUGAUCAAAACAUAAGUGAGCCAAGGAAUUGCACUUAAGCCUUGUCUCAUGCUCCAUUCCCGUGAUGGGCAAGAGAACAUGGCACUGGGCUUGAACUGCACUGGGGUUUUACCUGUGCAAAUUGAAGCCUGCUAUGAACCUGUGUCUUAGUGCAGAGAAAACGCUGUUCAGAUGAGCAAGCAAGCGCCUUGGCAUUCAUCAAACAAGCUCGUGCCAAACAAAUCUUCCAUCCUAGGAAAUUGCUUUGACGUAAAGCAAGUCAUCCGAAUGUGUACUUGUAAACGCUCCGUUUACUUAAUUGAAGCAAAUGCACUGAAGAGGUGCAGAAAGAUGAGAAUAUAAACAUGGACAAACACGUUUAUAGGCUCCAGAAAAAAAUAGUCUAGCGUUUCCUUAAAUCACUUUUGCCGCGUUGCGUGUUCAGAGAAAAUUCGAAUGGAAAAUUGUUCUCGUUUGCUAGCUCACGUAUCAAAGAGAGAAGGGUUCUCUCGCCUUCGAUAGCUUAGUUGGCAGAGCGGAGGACUGUAGGUGCUCAUAUCGGUCAUCCUUAGGUCGCUGGUUCGACUCCGGCUCGAAGGAGGGCUGUCUCCGUGCGAGUUGGCUUCUUUUUUUUUCAAAAUGUUAAUUUGGCCAGUGGUGAGUAAAAAGCUCUUCCCUGACCGGGAAUCGAACCCGGGCCGCGGCGGUGAGAGCGCCGAAU